rnacentral:rRNA from 1 species
UAAACCAGGAUUAGAUACCCUAUUAUAUUUAAACAAAUUGGGUAGUAUUAUUAAUAAAAACCUUUAUACUUUGGCGGCAUUUUAUCUUAUUAGAGGAAUAUGUUCAUUAAUCGAAACCACACGAUAGUUUUUACUUACUAUAAAAUUUUAUAUACCCCCGUCUAAAGAAUUUAUUUAAAAUUUUUAUUCCAAAUUAUAUUAAAAAAAGUUAGGUAAAGGUGUAGACUAUUAGUAAGAUUAAAUGUAUUACAUUAAAAAAAAUUUAAGGAUAAAACAGUUAACUGUUUAUUAAAAGAGGAUUUAUAAGUAAUUUACUUUUAAUAAAAAUUAAUGAAUAAGAAAAUAAAUGUGCACAUAUCGCCCGUCACUCUCACAU